UAUCGUACUGUAAACACUCCCACUUCUGUUCAUCUCUGAUGGAUCAUCCUACAAGUGUUAAUGCCGCUGGAUAUGUCCAACUAACUUAAAGAUUGCGGGACACGCAACGGAGAGCUGCAGUUAAUGAUCAACGCCAGAAACUCACGGGCACCUUGAUGAGAGUCAACUACGAGUUUACUCGAUAGAAGAGAGUGGUGCAUGCCGUCGUCAGCUCUACCGUAAGGCGUUCACUUAAGUGUGAUAACGAGCGAGACCCCAUCUUCAUUGCCAGCGUACAAGGGAUUGUGCGGCACUUUGGAGGGACCGCCAGCGCUAAGCUGGAGGAAGGAGGGUCGACGGCAGGUCAGUAUGCCCCGAAUCUCCCGGGCUACACGCGCGCUACAAAGGACAGGACAAUGAGUUGCGACCUCGAAAGGGAAGCCAACCUCGAAACCUUGUUCGUAGUGAGGAUUG
rnacentral:rRNA from 1 species